rnacentral:ncRNA from 2 species
CUAAAUAGUGCGAAACGGGGUGUCCUGCUUCCCUGGUGGGGGCAGGCUGAAAAGGGAAGCCGGUGCAAAUCCGGCGCGGUCCCGCCACUGUGAGGGGGAAGGGCCCCACAUUAUGUCACUGUCCAGCACUCAGUAAGAUUGUUUUCAGCUUUGAUAGAAAUUGGUUACUGCUAAGAUAAGGUUACGGUUGAGGGAACCAUAGCAUGGCUGAGUGCUGGAUGGGAAGACGUGGAGUUCCGAUGAACCCGAGCCAGGAGACCUGCCCCGUUUUAUCUACCAUG